AAGCAACCCUGAAAUUCCCAGUGCGGUCUGGAAACCACCCAUCCUUAAGAGGAGGGACAGGUGGGCUGGGUGCAGUGGCUCACGCCUGUAGUAGAAGAACAGCUAACAGAGGCCAGAAAUGGCUGACUUAGACUCGUUCCUCAAAUGGGGGCCCGAGAGGCCCUGGUGGGAAGGAGGGAGUGUGGGGAGCAAACAGGAGGGUGGGGGCUGCACCUCUGGUCUAGCCUGG
rnacentral:lncRNA from 1 species